AUGAUUGAUCAGUAUAAACAUCAACACCUUCGAAUUGGAUCAGUUUCCUCUGAACAAAUAAGUGCUUGGGCAAAAAAAAUCCUACCUAAUGGAGAAACAGUUGGGGAGAUUUCGAAUGAAAAACUAUCAUUCCAUUCAAUUAAAUUGGAAUGUCCUAUAUCUGGCAUGUCUCUUGGGAUGAGUAACAUGAAGCUCAGAAUUCAAUUCAUGGGUGUAUUGAAUACUCCCAAUAAGGGAGUUGGUCUAUGGUCAAUUCAGUAA